CAGUAGCCGCGGUAAGACAGAGGAUGCAAGCGUUAUCCGGAAUGAUUGGGCGUAAAGCGUCUGUAGGUGGCUUUUCAAGUCCGCCGUCAAAUCCCAGGGCUCAACCCUGGACAGGCGGUGGAAACUACCAAGCUGGAGUACGGUAGGAGCAGAGGGAAUUUCCGGUGGAGCGGUGAAAUGCGUUGAGAUCGGAAAGAACACCAACGGCGAAAGCACCCUGCUGGGCCGACACUGACACUGAGAGACGAAAGCUAGGGGAGCAAAUGGGAUUAGAGACCCCCGUAGUCCCUGUCUCUUAUAC
rnacentral:rRNA from 1 species